UGGAAUUUAUUAGGUUAUAAAAAGGUAUAGAAAAUGUAAAGUUUAAGGAACCAUACGGCUUUGAGAAUCUUAUGACAUCAAAGCUUUCAACAUUUUCCUUAUCAAGCCCUGUUUGGAUUCAUUUCAGUUGUAUAAAAAAAAAUUUUUCCAGUGUUACAGAAUCUGCAUUGAAAUUGAAUAUAACGGAGCAGUUAGCGUUAUUAAGGGAAAGACUAACAAAUAAAAGUUUACGGCAAAAACCGUGAAGCAUCAAAGCGAAACUUUUGCCGAUAACAUAGCCGAUAGGAGAUUUUGUUGCGGCUGUGCUGGUGGACAAUAUAAGAGUCCAUUAGAAGAUCGUCGAGGUGUCGAAUGACAAGCUGGAGUACAAUUUCAUGACAACGUUUUUCGUUGGUUUGUGUCGGAAUAGUUUUCACUUUACUCAGAAGUUCCAGACCGCUCGAUUGGCCGAGCGGAAGAUUGCGCCCAAGGAGAGGAUGAUAUCAUUUAAAUACCAUCGCAGUCGAUACUUUAUACUUAAAAGCGAAGCGAUUCAACUCGCAAAUCGACGUUGAAUUUGGCAAGGAGAGUCGUCAAAAAAAAAAUGUGGAUCAAACAGAGUCUGCGCUGAUUUCACUGUUUAAGCCAAUUUCCAUAUUUAUACAUACCUGUUGACCGGUUGUAAUCUUCUCGUUGUACCCAAGGUCAUAAAGCAUGAGAUUAUAAAUAAAGCCUAUGCAGAUGGACGAUGCACAGCCUCCUUAUCCCGCACAUGAAACAAAAGAUGUGACAGGCUAACGCCACAUGCAUAAAGUGCAUAAUGAUUACGAAGAUUGGUAAGCAGGAGGGUUACCUGCUUUGGAACGACAAAUGAGGUCAACCGUUACAAACGCUGCAUCUGGAUUACCUAGGCCCAACGGAUUCUCAAAUGUUUGUUCAACUACACAAAAAGCACCAUGUUUCUUACCAAUGUGCGGAUCAAAAUUACAGACAAGACAAAAUUGGAACUAGAAGAAAGAAAAGACAAGGGAGACUUUGAGAAAGAGAGACAAGACAAGCGCCACGAAGCUAGAAUGCAGAUACCAGAAGCCCUGGAUGUCUACAAACACAAUUGUAACAAAAGGAGAAAAAAGGAGGCCACCAACGCUGUUUGUCGCCGGUAGGAAACUGUCUAAUCUUUUUCCUGGACCAUACGAAAUUGAUAAAGUGAAACGAUGUGGCCGCUGUGACGUCAAGAAGGCUGCCGAGUUUAAAGGUUAAAAUUAUAUCUCCACAAGCGUAAAUAACAUUAUGUUAUGAAGAUGUGUGGCAGCAAAUGAAAAUUUGUUGUGGUCUGAGACAGACAACGAGGAGUAGGAUGACCAAACUUAAGCAAGCGGUAUAUCUUAUAACCAUUUGGUGAACUAAGAACUUAAACUGUCCAUUUCUGAAUUAUAAAUAAAAAACAAACUAUGUAUCGAA